AGUAACAUUCUAGUUCAGAAAGUGAAAAAGGGAAAGUGAAAGAUCAAGAAGAGCCGAUGAUCGUCACUGUAGCUGAGCUUCGAACUGGUAAACAGAGAACUAGACAAAAUCCUCAGCUCCUCGGCUUCAAGCGGUGAAAAGAGAAGGUCUGGGGAUGUUCUUGCCAGAGCUGCACAGAAAUGCUUCUCCUGCUAAGAAAAUGGAUGCUCCCAACAAAAAUAAAUCAUGUGAAAGAUAAAUAGAUGUUGGAUAAACACAGUGUUGGAAGAAAACAAGAUGGUGGUCAUGCCAUUCUUAUCUGACUUUCCCUUCUUCAACUUGAUAUUCCACCUUCAGAAACAGGGGAUCUGAACUCUUCGAGUGCUGAGGAAGAAAACAUUGCAAGGGAGAGUGAAGGAAGACGAGCAACAGAAUAGGCAGUUUUUGAGCUAAAUGUCAACGUCAGCUAGUCAUCAGUGUCCUCUUCCUUACCUGUCAUCAAUCCAAUUCUUGUCAUCGUCAGAGCUACCAAUUACGGGGCAUUGAUUGGGAGCCAGGCAUAGGAGUCAGCACUUGACAUGAGCCUAUGCCUCGGUACAGUCCUUUGGGUUGGGUGC